UACGUAGGGCGCAAGCGUUAUCCGGAAUUAUUGGGCGUAAAGAGCUCGUAGGCGGUUUGUCGCGUCUGCCGUGAAAGUCCGGGGCUCAACUCCGGAUCUGCGGUGGGUACGGGCAGACUAGAGUGAUGUAGGGGAGACUGGAAUUCCUGGUGUAGCGGUGAAAUGCGUAGAUAUUAGGAGGAACACCAGUGGCGAAGGCGGCUCUCUGGCCUGUAACUGACGCUGAGGCGCGAAAGCGUGGGGAGCGAACGGG
rnacentral:rRNA from 1 species